rnacentral:rRNA from 1 species
AUGAACUCCCUCGACCCGUCCCGCAUCUGGCUGGCGGCGCCGCGCAACCCGCCGUGGAUCUCCUCCUUGCGGGCCGCCAGGCGCCGCAGCUCCGAGGGGUCCCUGGACCAGCAGAGCACCUCGGAGACCGCGUGCUCGGCCUUCAUCCCCUCGACCCGCCGCAGCACGAACGCCGGGGGUGGGGACUUGCCCUCCUCCUCGGCCAGGGUCAGCCACGCCUGCCGCUCCAGCCGCGUGUCGUCCUCCACCACCACGCCCUCCCACUCGAAGAUGACGCCGACCCAGCCGCAGCCCAUGCGCUCGAGGCGCAGCAGCGGGUUGUGCAGGCUCGGGUCGUCCGCCCUGUUCCGCGGCGGCCAUGACGGUACCGCCGCUGGGGGGGCGUCGUCGUCGGUCCCUAAUCCGUUGUCGCCGUCCCCUGGGAUCCCCCGGAACUCCUUGCGCGGGACGGCCUCCUUGGUGAACCCCACCGCCGCGAGCGCCCUGACGGGCCAGUCCGCGAGCCGCUGCUGCGCAGGAAGCGACGGCUGCCUUCUGGCCACGAGGCGGCGGCCCGCGAAGGGCGUGGCCAGGGGCCGGCAGCUGACGACGUGGAGGAGGGUCCGGUGGGGCCGGUGGUGGUCGAAGGGGUGGCGCGCGAUGAAGGAGGUGCUGGCGCUGACCGUGUCCACCAUCAUCAUGGCUGCCGCUGCUUGUGGAUCCGCCCACCUACCAGUCGAUCAAAUCAACAAGAAGAAGAAUGACCAAACGACCAGAUCCCGGAGCCCGCCGGCCAAAUCCUUCCUGCGCCCAAAUUCCUCCGCUUUAUCGCUGAUUCCACGCUGCAAGAAGAAGAAAAGGAGAAGGAAGCCGGUCAGAAGCCAGAAACCCAAUCCGCGGGAGGAAGAAGACAGGAAAGGUAAAGAAGAAUCCAUGGCAGGAAGCCAACAAAACAGAGCAACGGCGGAACCAACCGCGGCAACGAAAACAGAGCACCUAAUCCUCCUCCUAAUCAACGAGAAGGAUAAACAAAGAAAGAAAUAA